UACGAAGGGGGCUAGCGUUGUUCGGAAUUACUGGGCGUAAAGCGCACGUAGGCGGAUACUUAAGUCAGGGGUGAAAUCCCGGGGCUCAACCCCGGAACUGCCUUUGAUACUGGGUAUCUCGAGUCCGGAAGAGGUGAGUGGAAUUCCGAGUGUAGAGGUGAAAUUCGUAGAUAUUCGGAAGAACACCAGUGGCGAAGGCGGCUCACUGGUCCGGUACUGACGCUGAGGUGCGAAAGCGUGGGGAGCAAACAGG
rnacentral:rRNA from 1 species